rnacentral:tRNA from 1 species
GCCUGCCUGGCUCAGUUGGUGGAGUAUGAGACUCUUGAUCUUUGGGUUGUGAGUUUAAGCCCCAUGUCGGGUG